UACGUAGGGCGCAAGCGUUGUCCGGAAUCACUGGGCGUAAAGGGUGCGUAGGCGGGUCUUUAAGUCAGGGGUGAAAUCCUGGAGCUCAACUCCAGAACUGCCUUUGAUACUGAAGAUCUUGAGUUCGGGAGAGGUGAGUGGAACUGCGAGUGUAGAGGUGAAAUUCGAUAGAUAUUCGCAAGAACACCAGUGGCGAAGGCGGCUCACUGGCUCGUAACUGACGCUCAUGCACGACAGCGUGGGGAUCAAACAGG
rnacentral:rRNA from 1 species